ACGGGAGGCAGCAGUGGGGAAUAUUGCACAAUGGGCGAAAGCCUGAUGCAGCAACGCCGCGUGAGGGAAGACGGUUUUCGGAUUGUAAACCUCUGUCUUUGGUGAAGAAUAAUGACAUUAGCCGAGGAGGAAGCCACGGCUAACUACGUGCCAGCAGCCGCGGUAAUACGUAGGUGGCAAGCGUUAUCCGGAAUUACUGGGUGUAAAGGGAGCGCAGGCGGGAAAGCAAGUCAGCGGUGAAAUGUAUGGGCUCAACCCAUGAACUGCCGUUGAAACUGUUUUUCUUGAGUGGAGUAGAGGCAAGCGGAAUUCCGAGUGUAGCGGUGAAAUGCGUAGAUAUUCGGAGGAACACCAGUGGCGAAGGCGGCUUGCUGGGCUCUAACUGACGCUGAGGCUCGAAAGUGUGGGGAGCAAACAGGAUUAGAUACCCUGGUA
rnacentral:rRNA from 1 species